GGGUUUCAUACUUUCAUUCUCAUCCUCAUUAUCCGCCCCCAUCUUUCCUUCCCCAUUUCUCUCUCCGUUUUCUAGAAACCCUAAACUCGCAACGCCGCUUCCCCCUGUACAAACACACAUUCUUAUGAAAUCAGAAAGAUGAAGCUUCAGUGUAGUUGUAGUCUGUGGAAAAAAGACCCAGGUAGUUUUUUUAUGGCUGAAUGUUUUCAUAGAUCUACCGGACCACUAUCGACUUUGCAGAUCUGAGUUUUUAGCUACAUUCAAGAACGGUACAAACAACAUUCUUGCGUCAAUCAGAAGGAUGAAGCUUCGGUGUAGUUGAAAUCAGGAAACAAGCAGAGCUAGGGAAGAUGACAAGCCCGGAUCUGAUAGGUUUGCUUCGGUAUAGUUGCAAUCGGUGGAUGAAGAUGGAAAUCAGAUGAAGAUGGAGUGAUGGAGAUGACAAGCAAAACUUUGCAGAUCUGAGUUUUUUUUGGUUGUUUAGUGGAUGAUUGUGGCAUUAGGUUCACCUGAGAUGUGAUUUCUUGUAUGUUGAAGGCUAUGAUGAUCCAGCUCUCCGUUUUAGCAGGCGAGGACAUCAAGAAAAUAACUUUCUGAACACGUUUCUUAUAAUGUUUGGGAUCUUUUUCGUGCUUGUGAUGAUCAGGCAAUGCUGAUUAGAGUGUUUUAGUUGUUGGUUAUUGUUGACAUCAUGUUGAUGAUAGUGUGUUCAUAUAAUACUUUGUAAUAGCACCAGCAGCCGCACGAGGGAGUAUAUACAACUUUCUGCACAAGCAAAAUGAUUCAUUUAAGCUUCCUUUGUUACUGAAGAUAGCAAUCGAUAUAUCCAAAGGCAUCAGUUACCUGUAUCAAAACAAUAUUAUCCACAGGGACGUGAAAACCGCCAAUCUUCUGAUGGAUGAGCACGACGUUGUGAAAGUUGCUGAUUUUGGAGUUGCAAGGGUGCAGACUGAAUCUGGAGUAAUGACGGCAGAAACCGGAACAUACAGGUGGAUGGCACCCGAGAUUGUGCCAAAAGUUAAUAGAUCGAAAAGGCUGCUGAUCCAAGUUUAGAAGAGGUAAGCAACGAAAGACACAACGGCUGUGCAAGUAAAGCAGGUACCCACAACACCGUUUCAUCGCUAUCCAUUGAUGGGGAAGUCUCUGGUGCGACCCCAAACUCCUGAGCCAUGGUUCCAGUACUGUUGAAGGCUAUGAGCACCAUAAUGGUGAGUGCAGUGGCUAGCUCGACACUUUCCAUUUCGGCGAGUGUAGAGAAAGAUAGGUUUAGUAGCUUGUACGAGUGUUGCAAUUGAAGUAGGAUUAGAGGUAGUUUAGUGGGGAUUAGUGGAGGAAUUUAACAGCUAAUAACAUUGUUAGUAUUAUUUAUGAAACAAAGCCUUUUCAUUUGAUAGGAAGUGAGUAUCAAAUUAGGAGACCUUUAAAAUAUUGAAACUGUAUCGGAAGCAUUUGAAUGAGGCAAAUGGUUCGAGUUUUGAUAACAAAAGUUUCUGUAAUCCACAUUGUCAUUGGCUUUUGUAACACCGUCUUUAUGAAGUUACUGGUUUAUUUCAAGUGAUUCAUAGAUUC
rnacentral:lncRNA from 1 species